CCCACCGACUUCGAUGCUCCCUCAGUCUCCACCUCAUCCCGUCAUCAUCCUCUUCAACGUUGAACGAGUUUAAAAAAUUCAACAGCUCCACAGCAGGACAAACAUUCACAGAUAAAUAUAAAACAGGACAGAAGUCUCAAAAAGAAAAGAAUUUUCUAGAGGGAGAGAGAGAGAGAGUGUGUGUUUGAAGUCAGCUCCAGAGAAAACUGUAAUUGAUGCCUACAGUUUUCUGCAUAUAUUUAAAGCUUCCGAAAAAACAUUUUGCUAUGCUGCAUAAAAUUUUCGAUAUGUUUUCGUUUCGGUCGUAAGGAAGUGAAGACUUGAGGGUUGUGAGAGUUUUUGCGAGGCGGAAUGGCCGCGCAGGGAGGAGAGGGAGGUGGAGGUGGAGUGGCGGUGGUGUUGUGUGGCGGAGCGGUUAGCAAUGCGUUGGACUCGCUGUCUCCAGCUCCGGCGCCCGAUGAUGGAGGAACUGUGGAGGAAAAUUCUGAGCAGAAUUCGAAUUCACCGAUCCUGUUUUUUCUAUUUUUUCAUAAGGCAAUUAGGUUGGAGCUGGACUGUCUGCACCGCUCGGCGUUGGCGUUUGCGACUGGGAAAUUGGUUGAUAUACAGUCGCUGGUGGAGCGGUACCAUUUUCUUAGGUCAAUUUAUAAGCAUCACUCGAAUGCUGAAGAUGAGGUCAUUUUUCCAGCUCUUGAUAUACGUGUGAAGAAUGUAGCCCCAACAUACUCCCUGGAGCACAAAGGUGAAAGUGACCUUUUUGAUCACUUGUUUGAGCUGCUAAAUCCUAACAAACAGAAAAAUGAGAAUUUUGCAAGGGAGUUAGCAUCUUGCAGUGGAGCACUCCAAACAUCAAUUGGCCAGCAUAUGUCCAAGGAAGAGGAACAGGUCUUUCCUCUGCUCAUAGAAAAGUUCUCAGUUGAAGAGCAGGCAUCCCUGGUUUGGCAGUUUUUGUGUAGCAUUCCAGUAGAUAAGCUGAAAGAAUUCCUUCCCUGGCUUUCCUUUUCUAUUUCACCUGAUGAGAAUGAGGAGAUGCAGAAGUGCUUGUGUAGGAUUAUUCCAAGGGAAAUACUCCUUCAACAGGUAAUUUUCUCAUGGAUAAAACAUAGAGAACCCACCACUACUGUUACAAGCAAUAGUGUCAGCCCUCAGAUCCAACGCUCCUUAUAUUCUUGUGCUAGCAAAGCGAGUCACGAACAUUCGGGGGGAAAAAAGUGUGUAUGUAUACCUUCAAGGACUGGCAAAAGAAAACAUACAGUUGCUGUGAAUGAUGCAUCUGAUUUGGAUGGUGAUCAUCCGAUAAAUGAAAUAUUGCAUUGGCAUAAUGCUAUUAAACAAGAGCUAGAAGACAUUGCAGAUGAGGCUAGGAAAAUUGAGCUCUGUGGAGAUUUUUCUGAUCUGACAUCAUUCUAUGAAAGACUACAGUUUAUUGCUGAGGUUUGCAUCUUUCACAGUGUUGCUGAGGACAAAGUAAUAUUCCCUGCUGUAGAUGGAGGAGUCUCCUUUUUCGAGGAGCAUGCUGAGGAAGAAAGCCAAUUUAAUGAGCUACGGUGCUUGAUUGAAAAUAUUCAGAAUUCAGGUGCCAAUUCAGCUUCAGCUGCUGACUUUUUCACCAAGCUAUGUUCCCAAGCUGAUUUAAUAAUUGAAACCAUCAAGAGACACUUCCAAAAUGAGGAAACAGAGGUUCUUCCUCUUGCUCGAAUGCAUUUUUCCUUCAAAAGACAGAGGGAUCUUUUGUACCAGAGCCUGAGUUUGAUGCCAUUAAAGUUGAUUGAGCGUGUCUUGCCAUGGUUGGUAGGAUAUUUGACUGAGGAUGAAGCAAGGAAUUUCCUGAAGAAUAUGCAAUUGGCAGCACCACCACCUGAUGCUGCUUUGGUUACUCUAUACUCUGGUUGGGCAUGUAAAGGUCAACAUAAAGGCAUAUGCUUGUCCUCUAAUGUCACUGGCUGCUUGGUGAGACGAUAUACUAACCUUGAUAUAGAAGAGAACUACAUCCGAGGAUCCUGUCCAUGCACAAAUGUUUUUCAGAGUGAACGACCAGUAAAAAGAAAUCUCCCAAUUCCUAGUACAGAGGAGACUUUGUGUGGAAAUUCAGUAGAUGAAAACUCUCUUCAUUCAGCUGGUAAUGAACAGUCCUGUUGUGUUCCAGGGUUGGGAGUUAAUGGUAAUAAUUUGCGACUGAACACUAUUUCUACCCCAAAGUCUUUUUGUCCGCUGUCCUUCAGUUCUUCUGCACCUUCUCUUAACUCCAGCCUUUUUAUCUGGGAGACUGAUAAUAGCUCUCCUGGUGUUGACCGCAUCGUGCAUCCAAUUGAUACUAUAUUUAAGUUUCAUAAAGCAAUACUGAAAGAUUUGGAGUAUUUAGAUGUUGAAUCUGGUAAGCUUAGUUACUGUGACGUGACUACCCUUCAGCAGUUCGUUGGAAGGUUCCAACUACUUUGGGGUUUAUAUAGAGCACAUAGUAAUGCCGAGGAUGAAAUAGUGUUCCCAGCACUUGAAUCUAAAGAGGCCCUCCAUAAUGUAAGUCACUCCUAUACAUUAGACCAUAAGCAGGAGGAAGAAUUAUUUGAAGACAUAUCUUGCGUGCUGUGUGACCUAUCAGAACUUCAUGAAGGCAUGAAUAGAAAUAGUAAGAUUGAGGAUCUUAACCUGACUUCCUUAGAUAAUUCUGUCUACGGUGAGGAUUGCUGGAGAAAAUACACUGAGCUGGCAACAAAACUUCAAGGCAUGUGCAAAUCAAUCAGAGUCAGCCUGCAUCAGCAUAUAUAUCGGGAAGAACUUGAGCUCUGGCCUCUGUUUGGCAAACAUUUUUCCGUGGAGGAGCAGGACAAAAUUGUUGGUCGGAUAAUUGGAACCACUGGUGCUGAAGUACUUCAGUCAAUGCUGCCUUGGGUGACUUCUGCUCUAACACAGGAUGAACAAAAUAAUCUGAUGGACACACUGAAGCAGGCUACAAGAAACACAAUGUUCAGUGAAUGGCUUAAUGAUUGCUAUAAAAGAACUCCUGAAUUAUCUGGGCAACCUGACAAAUCAGAUAGCAGCAGUUCUAGUACAGGUACUCAGUCUCAGGAAACCUUGGAUCAGGGUGAUCAGAUGUUUAAACCAGGUUGGAAAGAUAUUUUCCGCAUGAAUCAAACUGAACUUGAAUCAGAGAUUAGAAAGGUGCACAGAGACUCCACUCUUGAUCCCAGGAGAAAAGCAUACCUGAUUCAGAAUCUUAUGACUAGUCGUUGGAUAGCUUCUCAGCAGAAAUCACAAGUAUCAAUGGAUGAAAAUUCAGUCAGUGACGAAACUCUUGGACUUUCACCUUCAUUUCGGGAUACACAUAAACAAGUUUUUGGGUGUGAACACUAUAAGAGAAACUGUAAACUCCGUGCUGCUUGCUGUGGGAAGUUGUUCACAUGUAGAUACUGUCAUGAUGAAGUGAGCGACCACUCCAUGGAAAGGAAAGCAACAGUAGAGAUGAUGUGUAUGGUUUGCCAGAAGAUUCAACCAAUUGGCCCAGUUUGCUCAACACCUUCAUGCAAUGGAUUUUCCAUGGCAAAAUACUAUUGCAGCAUAUGCAAAUUUUUUGAUGAUGAAAGGGAUGUUUAUCAUUGUCCAUCUUGCAAUUUAUGCCGUCUUGGGAAGGGUCUUGGAGUUGACGUUUUUCACUGCAUGAAAUGCAAUUGUUGUCUGGCUAUGAAGUUGGAAGAUCACAAGUGCUUGGAGAAGGCUCUGGAGACAAAUUGCCCCAUUUGCUGUGAAUUUUUGUUCACUUCCAGCGCAACAGUUAGAUGUCUACCUUGUGGUCAUUACAUGCAUUCAGCAUGCUUUCAGGCAUAUGCUCGCAGUAACUAUAUAUGUCCAAUAUGCAGUAAAUCCAUGGGUGACAUGGCGGUAUACUUUGGCAUGCUCGAUGCUUUGCUGGCCAAUGAGGUGCUUCCAGACGAAUAUAGGAGCCAUCAGCAGGUCUGAGCACAUUCUUUUUCAUGCCUUGAGGCCUAUGCUUCUUCAGUGAGAAGCUAUGGGCAGUUUUAGUUAGAUACACAUAGGGAUACAUGCAAACACACAAAAACAUGCACAGACACUCGCAAGCAUGCAAGUGGAGGAAAACAGGCAGGACUUUUUAUCCAAGUCAUUAAUUGGAUAUCCUCUGUAACGAUUGUCAGCGGGAAGGUGCAGCUCAAUUCCAUUGGUUAUAUCACAAGUGUGGAUUCUGUGGAUCAUAUAAUACAAGGGUCAUCAAGGCUGCAUCUGCAAAUUUUGAAUGCUCUACAUCCAAUCAUGAGGUUGAACCCUCUUGAAACGGGUCAGAGAAUCUGAACUUGUAAAUAGCACUGUACAGGAAUUGCAAAAUUUUUGUAACCAUUCCCCCCCUCCCUUUUUCUCUUUUUUGAAGUUUGUAGAGAGAGUAGUUGUCAUAUUAGCUGACAAAUUAUUGGGAAAGUGGACCCCAUCUCGGUUAAUAGAAGACUUUAGAUGGUAAACUGACUGAUUGAUAAAUGUCUCAGCUUUGG